rnacentral:rRNA from 1 species
CAAGGCUUGACAUGCUCCUGCAGAGCCGGGAAACCGGAUGUCCUUCGAGGGUGGAGCACAGGUGCUGCAUGGCUGUCGUCAGCUCGUGUCGUGAGAUGUUGGGUUAAGUCCCGCAACGAGCGCAACCCCCGUGGUCAGUUGCCGAUGUUUCUGACCAGACUGCCGGCAGCAAACCGGAGGAAGGUGGGGAUGACGUCAAGUCAGCAUGGCCCUUACGUCUUGGGCUACACGCACGCUACAAUGGCCGGGACAACGGGUUGCCAAACCGCAAGGUGGAGCCAAUCCCCCAAACCCGGUCUCAGUUGGAAUUGUGGGCUGCAACCCGCCCACAUGAACGUGGAGUCGCUAGUAACCGUGGGUCAGCAUUACCGCGGUGAAUACGUUCCCGGGCCUUGUACACACCGCCCGUCACGUCACGAAAGCCGGCAACACCUGAAGCCGGUGGGCCAACCCUUCGGGGAGGCAGCCGUCGAGGG